GUCGCUUUAGCUCACUUGGGAGAGCGCCAGACUGAAGACCACUUUAGUUAGCAUUCUGUGCGGUAUCUGGAGGUACUGUGUUCGAUCCACAGAAGCGACA
rnacentral:tRNA from 1 species